UACGAAGGGGGCUAGCGUUGCUCGGAAUUACUGGGCGUAAAGCGCACGUAGGCGGCUUCUUAAGUCGGUGGUGAAAUCCUGGAGCUCAACUCCAGAACUGCCUUCGAUACUGGGAGCUCGAGUCCGGGAGAGGUGAGUGGAACUGCGAGUGUAGAGGUGAAAUUCGUAGAUAUUCGCAAGAACACCAGUGGCGAAGGCGGCUCACUGGCCCGGUACUGACGCUGAGGCACGAAAGCGUGGGGGAGCAAACAGGG
rnacentral:rRNA from 1 species